rnacentral:rRNA from 1 species
UACGUGAGGGGCUAGCGUUGUCCGGAAUCAUUGGGCGUAAAGAGCGUGUAGGCGGCCCGGUAAGUCCGCUGUGAAAGUCGGGGGCUCAACCCUCGAAUGCCGGUGGAUACUGUCGGGCUAGAGUGCGGAAGAGGCGAGUGGAAUUCCUGGUGUAGCGGUGAAAUGCGCAGAUAUCAGGAGGAACACCGAUUGCGAAGGCAGCUCGCUGGGACGUAACUGACGCUGAGACGCGAAAGCGUGGGGAGCAAACAGG